rnacentral:rRNA from 1 species
AUUGAACGCUGGCGGCAUGCCUUACACAUGCAAGUCGAACGGCAGCACGGGAGCUUGCUCCUGGUGGCGAGUGGCGAACGGGUGAGUAAUACAUCGGAACGUACCCUGAAGUGGGGGAUAACGUAGCGAAAGUUACGCUAAUACCGCAUAUUCUGUGAGCAGGAAAGAGGGGGAUCGCAAGACCUCUUGCUUUAGGAGCGGCCGAUGUCGGAUUAGCUAGUUGGUGAGGUAAAGGCUCACCAAGGCGACGAUCCGUAGCGGGUCUGAGAGGAUGAUCCGCCACACUGGGACUGAGACACGGCCCAGACUCCUACGGGAGGCAGCAGUGGGGAAUUUUGGACAAUGGGCGCAAGCCUGAUCCAGCCAUGCCGCGUGAGUGAAGAAGGCCUCGGGUUGUAAAGCUCUUCGGUUGGGGAAGGAAAUUAGCUUCGGUUAAUUACCUGGAGUAGAUGACGGUACCGCGAUAAGAAGCACCGGCUAACUACGUGCCAGCAGCCGCGGUAA